ACAAACUUGGUCAUUUAGAGGAAGUAAAAGUCGUAACAAGGUUUCCGUAGGUGAACCUGCGGAAGGAUCAUUAAUGAGUUUUGAACGAAGCUGUUCUGGUCUUUCGGGGCAAGUGAACGCUUCACUCAAUCCAUCUUACACCUGUGCACCUUUGGGGGGAAACUGAAAAAGAUUCGAAGUUGGAUAACGACGGAUGAAGCUUUGAUGUUUUCUCUUCUAUAAAAAAUUACAGUCUAUAGAAAGUCUUUAUUGCUUGAUGCAAUAUAAAAUAUUAUACAACUUUCAGCAACGGAUCUCUUGGCUCUCGCAUCGAUGAAGAACGCAGC
rnacentral:misc_RNA from 1 species